AUUGAACGCUGGCGGCAGGCCUAACACAUGCAAGUCGAACGAGUGGCGGACGGGCGAUUAAUGUCUGGGAAACUGCCCGCCGGAGGGGGAUAACUUCUGGCAACGGUAGCUAAUACCGCAUACCAUCUGAUGCGCCCAGAUGGGAUUUGCUGGUAGAUGGGGUAACGGCUCACCUCGGUGACGAUCUCCAGCUGGUCUGAGAGGAUGACGAGCCACGCUGGAACUGAGACACGGUCCAGACUCGUACGGGAGACAGCGGUGGGAAAUAUUGCCCAAUGAGCGCUAGGCUGAAGCGCCCAUGCCGCGUGUAUGAAGAGGGCCUUCGGGUUGUAGAGUACUAUAAGCGGGGAGGCGUUACCCGAAGAAUAAGCACCGGCUAACUCCGUGCCAGCAGCCGCGGUAAUUC
rnacentral:rRNA from 1 species